rnacentral:misc_RNA from 1 species
UCUCCGUUGGUGAACCAGCGGAGGGAUCAUUAUCGAGUUUUUCAAACUCCCAAACCCAUGUGAACUUACCACUUUGUUGCCUCGGCGGGGCAACUUACCCGGUACCUACCCUGUAGUUUACUACCUGGCAGGUGCCUGGUGAGCCCGCCGGCGGACCAUCAAAACUCUUGUUUAUUUUGACAAUUCUGAAUUUUAAAACUUAAUAAGUUAAAACUUUCAACAACGGAUCUCUUGGUUCUGGCAUCGAUGAAGAACGCAGC